rnacentral:rRNA from 1 species
UACGGAGGGAGCUAGCGUUGUUCGGAAUUACUGGGCGUAAAGCGCACGUAGGCGGCUUUUUAAGUCGGGGGUGAAAUCCCGGGGCUCAACCCCGGAACUGCCCUUGAAACUGGAGAGCUAGAAUCUUGGAGAGGCGAGUGGAAUUCCGAGUGUAGAGGUGAAAUUCGUAGAUAUUCGGAAGAACACCAGUGGCGAAGGCGACUCGCUGGACAAGUAUUGACGCUGAGGUGCGAAAGCGUGGGGAGCAAACAGG